GAAAUUACUACAAAAGUAUCACGUGAUGAAUGGGAAAUUCCCAGUGUAUCUGUGGAAGAAAACUGGUCCUAUUGGAUACUGAACAUCAGAGAUAACUGAGUUUUCCCCAGCAAAGGGGAUGGCCACGCCAGCAGCUCUGCAGCUGCUCCUGCCAGUCACUCCAUUUCGCCAUCAUUCCCUUGGCCCCAUGAGAGCCCAUAAAGAAGAGCAGAGCAAGGAACACAGAAUUCCUUCCAGAUGGGCUUCGGCAGACAAACAUUGGGCUCUGUUACGCACUGAUAUUUGGAAAGAGAAAGUAAACAUCGACUGCAACUUGUCUAUUAACAUCCUGUGAAAACUACCAAAAGGGAGAGUCAAGCUUCCUGGGGAUAUGGCACAGAUGUAUAAAAUUUUUCCAAAGGAGCCUAAUAUUUUGCUCUUGGGAGAUAACUGAAGGAGUCUGUACACAUACACACAAAAAAAUUGGAUCUGAAGAAAUCAUUUAUCUAAAGUGAGAGGUAGGAUUCAAGAGGAAGAAAUGAGAAAGUUCUGGGAAGCAGCUUGGUGAUGGAAAAAUAUUGUCUGAGAGUCAGGGCACUUGAAUCGAGACUCUUCUCACACACCACCUGGUUGCAUGGCUUUACUUUUCUGCACCUCAGUUUCCUCAUCUGAAAAAGGACAAGAUUGGCCAAGAAGGGAUCAGCUACCUGUGCAUCUUGGGGCAGACAGCCAAUCUACUUUUUUCUCCAAAACUGAAGGAGUUCUUGAGGGAAGGAAACAGCUCUGCACAUCCUGUAAAGGCAGAAGAGAAAAAGAGCUGCCCCUCCUCUAUACUCCUUCAGAAACUCUUCAUCAGCCAUGGAGUGAGAUUAAACACAAUUUCUGUUUAAUCAUAUGUGACAGGUGGCAGGAUUCCACCAUCACAUUUUGAAAGAAUUUUCCAAGGAAGCCAGGGUGCAAAAAAUUUCAAAGAAACUCCUUUCUUCACAGCGAACAUAAAUUAAAAAAAAAGAAGAAGAAAGAAAGCCAAAGGGAAAGAAGAAUAACUACAAAGGCCUAUGGUCCAUAUAUUUCAUGAGGAUCUAGAUCCAUUUUUAAUUCGGCAGCGACAUACAAUGAACAUUUACACAGCUCUGCUCCCAGAACCUAAACAUGCCAAAUGAUUUUAUUUGUGUCUCAUCACUGGAGUAAGAAAGACCAUGUAAUCAGAAACCAUUGGCGCCGGAAGAGACCCUCCGAAGGUCAUGAGGACCAGACUCUCAUUCCAAGUUUGCUUCUCUUUGGAAAGCCACUGUGCAAACCUACUGUGUGUGUAACAUCCAUCUGGGUCCUACCACAUCAACCCUGUGGAGUCUGAGGCAAGAUUAACUGGUGUCAACAGGCUGAUGUCCGAGCUGCUUGCUGCGCCCUCAUAGUCAAACUCUUUGUCUCCACCCAAGAGUCUCACGUCUGCUUUCAGCAUCCAUGAAGCAGUAACAGGAUAGUACUGGAUUACGUGAAACAGAAAAAAAUAAAAAGAUAAUUUUUAAGGAAAAAUGUAAGGCACUGUUCUAGGCAUGAGAGAUAUGGAAAUUGACAAGUCAGUCGAGAUGAAUUCUCUCUAGAAGCUCGUAUCAAGAUGCAGGACAGACAAUGAAGACAAAUAACCCUAUGUCAUAUCAGAAGGUGGUAAG